CCUACGGGAGGCAGCAGUGGGGAAUUUUGGACAAUGGGCGAAAGCCUGAUCCAGCAAUGCCGCGUGAGUGAAGAAGGCCUUCGGGUUGUAAAGCUCUUUUGUCAGGGAAGAAACGGUGUUUUCUAAUACAGAAUGCUAAUGACGGUACCUGAAGAAUAAGCACCGGCUAACUACGUGCCAGCAGCCGCGGUAAUACGUAGGGUGCAAGCGUUAAUCGGAAUUACUGGGCGUAAAGCGUGCGCAGGCGGUUUUGUAAGUCUGACGUGAAAUCCCCGGGCUCAACCUGGGAAUUGCGUUGGAGACUGCAAGGCUAGAGUUUGGCAGAGGGGGGUAGAAUUCCACGUGUAGCAGUGAAAUGCGUAGAUAUGUGGAGGAACACCGAUGGCGAAGGCAGCCCCCUGGGUCAAGACUGACGCUCAUGCACGAAAGCGUGGGGAGCAAACAGGAUUAGAUACCCUGGUAGUCCACGCCCUAAACGAUGUCUACUAGUUGUCGGGUCUUAAUUGACUUGGUAACGCAGCUAACGCGUGAAGUAGACCGCCUGGGAAGUACGGUCGCAAGNUUAAAACUUCAAAGGAUUGACGGNUUGNGNGNGCGAGCGACGACGAGGAGAGG
rnacentral:rRNA from 1 species